rnacentral:rRNA from 1 species
CCGCGGUAAUUCCAGCUCCAAUAGCGUAUAUUUAAGUUGUUGCAGUUAAAAAGCUCGUAGUUGGAUUUCGGGUGGGUUCCAGCGGUCUGCCUCUGGUAUGUACUGCUGUGGCCUACCUUUCUGCCGGGGACGUGUUCCUGGGCUUCAUUGUCCGGGACUCGAAUUCGGCGAGGAUACUUUGAGUAAAACAGCGUGUUCAAAGCAAGCCUACGCUCUGAAUGCAUUAGCAUGGAAUAUCACGAUAGGACUCUGGCCUAUCUUGUUGGUCUGUAGGACCGGAGUAAUGAUUAAGAGGGACAGUCGGGGGCAUUCGUAUUUCAUUGUCAGAGGUGAAAUUCUUGGAUUUAUGAAAGACGAACUUCUGCGAAAGCAUUUGCCAAGGAUGUUUUCAUUAAUCAAGAACGAAAGUUGGGGGCUCGAAGACGAUUAGAUACCGUCGUAGUCUCAACCAUAAACGAGGAAUGCCGACUAGGGAUUGGCAGGUGUUUUAUUGAUGACCCUGCCA